GCCUUCGUGGUGUAGUGGUCAGCACGCUGGGCGCUUACUCCCGAGGUUUGUGGUUCGAGUCCCGGCGAAGGCG
rnacentral:tRNA from 1 species